UUCUCUCCAAAUCAAAAACAAAACCCAACUUCCUCUCUCCAAAACAAAAUCUCUGUUCUCUCCAAAUCAAAAACAAAACCCAACCUCUGUUCGAUCUCUCUAAAACAUUUCGAAGUUGUUCGCUCAAAAAAAAACCAAUCUCUGAAUCAAGCAACCUAGCGGACGGAAAAAUCGAAUCAAGCAACACGAAGACCAAGAAUCAACAUAUCUCGACUUCGAUUCGGUAAACCCUUAACUAUUAUCCAUCAACUCGUUCUGGGUUUUGACCUUGGACGAUUUCUAGGUUUUAUGUGGUCCAUUUAAGUCUCUUUGCAAUUUGGGUUUUUUUAGAGGGUUUGUUCCUUAUGUUUUUUCAUCUUUCUCUCCCGUACGAACAUUGAAAUCUCUUUGUCUGCUCGAUAGCCAUUGCCAGUGUAUAAAGGUACAAUUUUCUUAAUUAAUCAUUCCACUUUUUUCCCCUCACUCUCUAGUUUCAUUAGUUAUUUGUAGAAAUUUUUUAUUUUAUUAAUAAUCUUUCUCAAAAAUUCAGUUUACCUUUUUGUAUUCUUUCGAACUCAUGUUUUAUUAAUUUAUUUACUGCUAUAAAAUUGUGUUUGGUGUUGGAAAAUAUAGCAAUUAACAAGACGAAUAAUAUAAAUAAAUUGGAACAACUUAGUUGGAAAACCGAGGCGUAGCAGAGCUACUGUCCUAAAAAGUGAUUUCGCCCCUACUGGUAAUAAUCACAGGUACAAAUGGGCUGACGACGGUCACUAUUCAACGGCGAAUUCUCCGAUCGUGUGUACUCACGGAAGGAGGCUUUGGACUUGUCUAUGUGGAUUGCCCAAUUAACAGAGUAUAAGAGAUGACUAUAUGAAUAAGAAUAGGAUACACAGAGCGGAAAAAUAAAACUGUUAUUGUGUGUAUCUUUUUUCUUCAUGAACGUAAACUGUUAUUGUUUUUGAAGAAGAUGAAGAAACUGAUUAUGCUGUAUAUUGUCUCUGAAGAACAACUAGCCCAACCCUUAUAAGGAACGUUGGAGAUUUUAAUGGUUUAAUGAAACGCUUGGGAGUUACAGAAAUAAAUAAGGUAACGGCUAGGGUAUUAAAGGAAAUAAAAGACCAAUUAAAUUGGGAGUUAAAGGAAAUAAAUAAUUUUUAAGCAUAACCAACAAUCCCCCACAUGAUUCAAAAUUAUCAACGAAAGAAAAAUUAAAAAGAAGUGAGAAGAGCAAUGGAUUUUAGAUACAUAACAUCGAUACCUUUUGGGUUUGAAUCGACACUUAGUGGAACAAGCUCAUGAUUGUAGAUUAUAAGUGAAGUAUAUUCUUGAACCCAUUACCUAUGAUACAAUCAAUUUGACUUGCACACAUAUCUAAAAAUCCUGAAUCCACACAAGUCCGCGGUUGGGCGCGUUCAAAGCCAUGCGCCAUAUCCCAAAUUUUCAUAAAGGCUAUAGAGAGUUUGCCAAAGACUCUCAUAGGAAGCGGCCUACACUUCUACCUUUAUAUAGGUGAACUCAUCAAGUGUAUACUGACAUACACCACCCUUUAGGGCUAUGAGUUUCAUUAAGAAUCUAAACGAUUCAUCAUUUCACAAUUUGUCAGUAAGCACCACAUGCACACAAGAAGGGAUAUAAAUAAUUGUAGUGCUAUAAUUAAGUAAUUACGUGACUUGUUGUUACCCAUUGAACCCAAUUCAUGGGAUCUCCAAUCACAUGGGUUGGGUUUCCAUCGCAUAUUACUUACUCAAGAUGUUGGCAAUAGUCCCAUCCCUCUGGAUGCUUUUUGGACACUCUUUUUAAUUAAUCCCUUUGUAAGCCUUUUCAGACCUCACAAAUUCCAUGGAAAUAACACCGUUUUAUUGAUCAGUCCUCAUUCAAUAUUAUGUCUCAAGCUAAUAUGUCUCUAUUUCCCAUUAUACACAUGGUUCAUUCCUCGUCCAAUAGCAGCUUGAGAAUCACAAUGCAGAUAUAUAAAAGGAAUUGGUUUAGACCACAACAGUGUGUCUGCCAAUAAAUUCCUCAGCCACUCUGCUUCUGUACCUAUCAAUUCUAAUGCAAUAAAUUCAGAUUUCAUAGUAGAUUUAACAGUACAAGUUUGUUUAGCAGAUCUCCAAGAGACAACUUAUCCACUUAAAGUAAACACAUAUCCAUUAGUGGAGCUUGUUUUCGUCAUUAGCAGAUGCCCAAUUAGCAUCACAAUUUCCUUCAAAAAUAUUAGGAUGAUCAGAAAAAUGUACACUUACAUUAAUUGUUCCUUUUAAAUACCUCAUUAGACGUGACAAUGCAUUCCAAUGAUUUUGUGACAUAUUAUGUGUAUAUCUGCUAAGUCUACUACUGACAUAUUCAAUAUCAGGUCGAGUACAAUUCAUUAAGUACAUUACACUAUCAAUGAUUCUGGCAUCUUAAAUUUGUGCAAUACCAAUCCCCUUUAUUUUUCUUUAAAUGCACACACUAGAGUCACAAGGUGUUCCUAAUGGCUCUUUAUUAAAGAAAUUAAAUUUCUUAAGAAUUUCACAUAAUAAAAAUAAACCAUGUGCAUUUUUAUUAAUUCUCAUGCCAAGAAUCAAGUUCGUUUUCAUGUCAAAUUUAGAGAAUAAAAAAAUAUUUUAAUAAUUUUUACAACUUUCUCAUCAGUACCAAAUAUCAGCAAAUUAUCCACAUAUAAUCACAUCACAAUUUUCAUGCUUUAUAUCUCAUGCAUAUAUCACAUUUCUCAUGCUUCACAUUUUAUGUAUAAUUCACAUUUUAUACAUGAUUCAUCUUUCUCAUAUUGUACAUUUAUACAUGUUUGACAUCUGAUACAUGCUCCAUAAUGCUCAUACUUCGCAUUUCUCAAAUUAUAUAGUUCACAUAGAACAAUUAACUUAAAUUAUCAAUAGACUAUUAACAGUUAUUAUCACAUUGUUGCACGAAAUGCACAUUAAAACAAUUCACAAGAAUGUCACGUAACACUGAACAUUAGCGCAUAACCACAAGUAUAGAAAAACUUGCUUUAAAAUUAUCAAUAGAUCGGUCAGCUUUUAACUUCUUUUUAAACACCCAAUAGAUUUACAUCUUUUAGGCAAAAACUAGCUCUCAUGUAUGAUUACUCAUAAUGGAUAACAUCUUUUCAAAAUAUUGCAUAAAAUGAUUUUAUUGCUUCUUCAUAAGUUUUAGAGUCAUCUUCAGUUAUCAAACGUCUAAAUGCAACACUGUUUGAAACAUAUUCAGUAAAAAUACAAACCAUUAUUUUAUGUCCAAAUUUAUUCUUUUUUUAAAUUCUGGUAUAGCUACUUUAGCUAGACACCCCAACAUUUUAAGAUACCCCAAGUUAGGUGCAUGUGUUAUUACAACAUGGUAAUUUAAUUCCAAGCGCCAACAAUUAAUAUUUCAAGUAUGCUAUAAACAUAUUAAAAUACUUCAUAAAAUUUACAACAGUAUCUUAUCAUCACUAAAGGUUACUAUAAUUUUUUGGAAUUUUUCCUGAAGAUCAUGCAAAUUAUCACAAUUAAUUAACAAUUGCAUAAUUCAUUUAGAGAUUAACUAAAAUUAUCCAAAUAUAAUUGAUUUUCCAAAACUUCAGUGGAAAUAUUAAUUUUAUUCCAAUAAUUAAUAUCUGUUAAAUUUUCAGAAUUUAAUAAUCACAAUAACUAUUUAUUAAUUGAUUUCCAUGAUUAAACAAUUAAUAAAACAUUUUCUGGAAUAAAAAUCUGUCAGACAACUGCAGGAACACCCCAGCCAAUAGACUUGACUGAGAACGAUCCUCUAAUGCACAAAUGACCUAAGGACAACAGAACUGUUAAUCACUCUCUGGUCCUACAGUCAUGGUCACCUGUCUCCUUAGAAAUCAAGGAUACAAAGGUACGAGCCUAUAGAACAGAUCCUGUUUAAGUAAGGUCGUACUAGACAGAAAAUAGCUAAUCAUCUUUAAUAGUUCAGAUGUGGCUGCAGGGCAUAAUACCAAAAGUAAAGAUCCUUGCUACAAGGCAUGCAU
rnacentral:lncRNA from 1 species